rnacentral:rRNA from 1 species
UACGGGGGGUGCGAGCGUUGUCCGGAAUCACUGGGCGUAAAGGGCGCGUAGGUGGCGUGAUAAGGGUGUGGUGAAAGCCCGGGGCUCAACCCCGGGUCUGCCAUGCCGACUGUCAGGCUAGAGUACUGUAGGGGCAGGCGGAAUUCCGGGUGUAGCGGUGGAAUGCGCAGAGAUCCGGAGGAAGACCGGUGGCGAAGGCGGCCUGCUGGGCAGUUACUGACACUGAGGCGCGACAGCGUGGGGAGCAAACAGG